rnacentral:rRNA from 1 species
AUGGAAGGGCGUGAGCAGCUACCACUUCCUCGGAUGGCGUCGUACUCCAAUCUGUUGAUGAAGCUUCAGAUCCGCAAGCACGCAGCCAAGAACGGAGUGGAUGCAGUCUUCGAGGUAUCUGAUGUCCCUAGAUCGCCGGCAAUUAAUGUGUCGUCUGGGAGUGCACCGCCCGCAUAUUCUAGGACCACCCCAAGCCCUGGUGUGUGCGCCAGCCCGCCUGGAUUUGCUGUGACCCAUGGGACAGAGAUACCUGCGCAGAUUCUGGCCGCACUUAAGGAGGCAGUGGCACAUCAGUUCAAGAAAAGGGAGGAGGAGUUCUUGAAGAUGGUGGAUGAUGCCAAGGAGAAGGUGCUGGUGGAAAUACGGUGCAAGGCGGAAGUCAAACGACAGAGAGAUCUAGAAGACACACUCGAGGAUUUCAUGGCCAGGGUGAAGAGGCAGGCUCCAAUGGCGGCGGCGUUUCCCAACGUCACACUGUCUUCUCAUGUGCCAAGAAGCAAAACAGAUAUCAUGCAAGACCUAGCUGCUACUUCACGUGAAGCUGCUCGAUCUCUGAUGGCUGUUGUAGUCUGUAACGAGGAAACACGUAGCCCCCCAGCUGGGGAAGCAGGUAUUUCACUAGCCUCUGGAAGCCAGAACCAUAACGUGCAUGUGCCUCCGAUGGAGCGUGGAAAAGUAAUUGUUGUUUCGGAACCAAUGGGUGUUGAUGAAGUUCAAGAUAAGCCAAUGAUCGAAGACCGUAAAGGAAAAGGACCAGCAGUAAACUUGGGUGGGCGCAUAUGUACUAGGCAGAUGACAAUGCAGGAGGCACUGGGGGUUGGAUCGAUGAGAGACCAAGUUGUGCCAGUCGUACACCAAGCAUGCGACCAAGUUAUGUACGAAGCUAGUGUGCCCGACGGUGGAGGGCUGGGCGUUGCUAAUGGAGCUGGCAUUGCCACGCUUACUCCCAUAGGAAACUGA